UACGUAGGGGGCAAGCGUUGUCCGGAUUUACUGGGCGUAAAGCGCGCGUAGGCGGCUUUGCAAGUCGGGUGUGAAAUCCCCAGGCUUAACCUGGGAACUGCAUUCGAGACUGCAUUGCUAGAGUAUGGGAGAGGGAAGUGGAAUUUCCGGUGUAGCGGUGAAAUGCGUAGAUAUCGUAAGGAAGACCAGUGGCGAAGGCGAGUCUCUGGACAGCAACUGACGCUGAGCACGAAGGCCAGGGGAGCAAACGGG
rnacentral:rRNA from 1 species